rnacentral:rRNA from 1 species
GACGAACGCUGGCGGCGUGCUUAACACAUGCAAGUCGAACGGAAAGGCCCUGCUUUUGUGGGGUUCUCGAUUGGCGAACGGGUGAGUAACACGUGAGUAACCUGCCCUUGACUUUGGGAUAACUUUAGGAAACUGGGGCUAAUACCGGAUAGGAUCUCCUGCUGCAUGGUGGGGGUUGGUAAGUUUCGGCGGUUGGGUAUGGACUCGCGGCUUAUCAGCUUGUUGGUGAGGUAGUGGAUUACCAAGGCUUUGACGGGUAGCCGGCCUGAGCGGGUGACCGGCCACAUUGGGACUGAGAUACGGACCAGACGCGUACGGGAGGCAGCAGUGGGGAAUAUUGCACAAUGGGCCGAAGCCUGAUGCAGAAACGCCGCGUGCGGGAUGACGGCCUUCGGGUUGUAAACCGCUUUCGCCUGUGACGAAGCGUGCGUGACGGUAAUGGGUAAAGAAGCAACGGCUAACUACGUG